GGCAGUGUAGCUGUCGCUGAAAGCAUGUAUGUGUAAUUUCUUUCUUUAAGCCUUUAAAGUAUUUAUUUGUUAUGUUAUUAUUACAAUAAUGCACUGUAAAUAUUAAUAGUAAUUUGCCUAUGUGAGUUUUGUUUUACAAGGGUUGCAGAAAUAGUGACACCUGCAGGUUAAACUAGUGAGCUGCAUUUAAUUUAAGUUACUGUGGUCAUGUGAUUAGCCUAACUAAUAGCAGUGCAAAAUGUGCAUGCAGUUUGUUGGUGCUAUGCUGUACACGGAGUUAGAUGCUAAAGAAGAGAAUAAUUAAACAGUAAAGCGUUACAGCAACUCCUAGAUUUCUGGUCGGAAGGCGCACACGGCAUGGCAAAUAUGAGUGUUAACUUUGAAUUUUGAGGCUUCCAGCAUCCCAGUACUCUCCUUCAGCAUGUCGCUUCACUGGGACAAGUCAGUCAUCCCCACAUGCGUGUUUAAACAAGAGCUCAAAACCAAAACCUCCACUGACGGACAAGGCAGGGAAGCAUCAUAAAACAAGCAACAAGCCUGCAAGUUCAUC
ensembl:lncRNA